rnacentral:rRNA from 1 species
CCUACGGGAGGCAGCAGUGAGGAAUAUUGGUCAAUGGGCGAGAGCCUGAACCAGCCAAGUCGCGUGAGGGAGUACUGCCCUAUGGGUUGUAAACCUCUUUUGUCGGGGAGCAAAAGCCGGACGUGUCCGGCUGUGAGAGUACCCGAAGAAAAAGCAUCGGCUAACUCCGUGCCAGCAGCCGCGGUAAUACGGAGGAUGCGAGCGUUAUCCGGAUUUAUUGGGGUAAAAGGGUGCGCAGGCGGAUUUUUAAGUCAGCGGUCAAAUCGUGGGGCUCAACCCCAUCCAGCCGUUGAAACUGGGGAUCUAGAGUGUGCGAGAGGUAUGCGGAAUGCGUGGUGUAGCGGUGAAAUGCAUAGAUAUCACGCAGAACCCCGAUUGCGAAGGCAGCAUACCGGUGCACAACUGACGCUCAGGCACGAAAGCGUGGGUAUCGAACAGGAUUAGAUACCCCUGUAGUC